UACGAAGGGGGCUAGCGUUGCUCGGAAUCACCGGGCGUAAAGCGCACGUAGGCGGAUUGCUAAGUCAGGGGUGAAAUCCUGGAGCUCAACUCCAGAACUGCCCUUGAUACUGGCGGUCUCGAGUCCGGGAGAGGUGAGUGGAACUGCGAGUGUAGAGGUGAAAUUCGUAGAUAUUCGCAAGAACACCAGUGGCGAAGGCGGCUCACUGGCCCGGUACUGACGCUGACGGUGCGAAAGCGU
rnacentral:rRNA from 1 species